rnacentral:tRNA from 1 species
GAAAUAAUUUAAAAAUAAGCUUCUAACUUAAUUUUCAAGCGUGAUCGUUUUUAUUUCU